GCCGCUAAAGACCCACAGAAGGCAAGAAGUUUGCGUUGCAAAGCUGCUGUCCCGCCUGACUGCGGAGAAAGAAGACUCGUUUAUGGUUGUUCUACAGCCGCUGCUGACGUCCAUCAGCUCUGUCCUGCUCCCAGCUGCAGAUAGGCCUGGAUUUCAAUGAGUCGUGUCCCAACUCCGGUGUGAACGAUUUCCCGACGUCAAGACGAAGUGGGGUCAAGUCAUGGGUGUUGCAAGGAAGCUGUCACAAGAUGAUCCGGUAUUGAACGGCUACAGCACAACCGAGAGAACGAAAUGUACGUCGCAAUCAAGCUAUGUCGUUGCCAUCUUCUAUUUGCCAUGCGUUACCUGAUGUGCCAGCCUGCUAUGUCGGAUACCGCUAACCAUGCAUCGACUAGGCGCCAGGCGUGAACUGAUGGUGGUGGUGGUGGUGGUGGUGGUAAGAAGGAGAGCUCUGUGCCAGAAUAACUUUGCAGUUUAGAGAGCGUGUCUGGGCAGGCGUGUAUUUACCCCCAUAUUGCCAGGUGUGUAUUUACCACCAUAUGAACCAACCAUAAGUGCAGUUGCAGUGGAGUCUUCAACUUCAUUCUCCCGAGUCAAGCUCCUUCAUCUAAGAAGAAGAUUGCCUGAUGAGUCCAGCCGGGACGAAAGGUACGUCGCAAUCAAGCUAUGUUGUUGCUGUGUCAUCUGCUAUGCGCCAUACGCUACCUGAUGUACCAACCUGCUAUGUCGGACACCACUCACCCUGCAUCGACUAGGCGCCAGACGCGAACUGAUGAUGGUGGUGGUGGCGGGAAGGAGAGCUCUGUGCCAGAAUAACUUUUCAGUUUAGAGAGCGUGUGUAGGCAGGUGUGUAUUUACCGCCGUAUGAAUCAACCACAGUACGAUCAGCUGACGUUAUAACUUAUAAGGAUGAUCUCGUGCAGCGAUAUUAUUGAUAUUUUUUAAGUCUUUUCUAAGGACUCUCCACUGCAGCGUUUUCUUUCCACUCGGUUCUCUUCUUUUCAUCGCUCAGCUUGCACUUGCAAUGCUUAUACAUACUGAUCAAUCCCGUUCAAUUUUCCGUACGUUUUUCUCAAAAUCCAUAGCGUGGACGAAGUAGUGAUUUUCCGUACAAAUAUGGAAAAUACGGAAGGUUGAUAGCACUGUGUUGAGGCAGCUAUUGUUGACUUUAUUUGGAAUUAAUUCUGUCGUAUUUGCACACAUUCCUGAGUGCAUUGUAUUACUAUUA